UGCUCAAAUUUUUUACCUGCUGCAAGAGAGCACAAAUAUGCACUACAAACUCAAAUGCUGUCAUUCAAAUGUUGAGCAUUUGAGUUUGUAGUGCAUAUUUGUUUUCCUUCGGUUUAAGGUUUCGCGUGAAAU
rnacentral:pre_miRNA from 1 species